GAUGAAGAACGUAGCGAAAUGCGAUAAGUCAUGUGAAUUGCAGAAUUCAGUGAAUCAUCGAAUCUUUGAACGCACAUUGCGCCCGCCAGUAUUCUGGCGGGCAUGCCUGUUCGAGCGUCAUUUCAACCAUCAAGCCCUGCUUGCGUUGGGGUCCUGCGGCUGCCCGCAGGCCCUGAAAACCAGUGGCGGGCUCGCUAGUCACACCGAGCGCAGUAAUACAUCUCGCUUUGGGCGUGCGGCGGGUUCUUGCCGUUAAACACCCCCUUUUUACCAAGGUUGACCUCGGAUCAGGUAGGAAUACCCGCUGAACUUAAGCAUAUCAAUAAGCGGAGGA
rnacentral:misc_RNA from 1 species